rnacentral:tRNA from 1 species
GGGGUUGUGGCUCAGCGGUAGAGCUCUCGUCUCGCACAUGAGAAACCCUGGGUUCAAUCCUCUACACCA